rnacentral:rRNA from 1 species
UGGGGAAUCUUGGACAAUGGGCGCAAGCCUGAUCCAGCCAUGCCGCGUGGAUGAUGAAGGCCUUAGGGUUGUAAAAUCCUUUCGCCGAGGACGAUAAUGACGGUACUCGGAGAAGAAGCUCCGGCUAACUUCGUGCCAGCAGCCGCGGUAAUACGAAGGGGGCUAGCGUUGUUCGGAUUUACUGGGCGUAAAGCGCGUGUAGGCGGGUCGUUAAGUUGGGGGUGAAAUCCCGAGGCUCAACCUCGGAACUGCCUUCAAAACUGGCGACCUGGACCCAAGUAGAGGCAAGUGGAAUUGCGAGUGUAGAGGUGAAAUUCGUAGAUAUUCGCAGGAACACCAGUGGCGAAGGCGACUUGCUGGACUUGUGGUGACGCUGAGACGCGAAAGCGUGGGGAGCAAACAGGAUUAGAUACCCCCGUAGUCCCUGAGCGGGCUGGCAAGGCGCAU